rnacentral:rRNA from 1 species
AAUUGGAGGGCAAGUCUGGUGCCAGCAGCCGCGGUAAUUCCAGCUCCAAUAGCGUAUAUUAAAGUUGUUGCAGUUAAAAAGCUCGUAGUUGAAUUUCGGGAUUGACACAUCGGUCGUGCCUUAAGGGGUAUGAACUGGUGUAGUCAAUUUCUCACCUUCUGGAGAACCGCGAUGCCCUUAAUUGGGUGUCACGGGGAACCAGGACCUUUACUUUGAAAAAAUUAGAGUGUUUAAAGCAGGCAUUUUGCUUGAAUACAUUAGCAUGGAAUAAUAAAAUAGGACGGCAUGAUUCUAUUUUGUUGGUUUCUAGGAUCACCGUAAUGAUUAAUAGGGAUAGUUGGGGGCAUUAGUAUUCAAUUGUCAGAGGUGAAAUUCUUGGAUUUAUUGAAGACUAACUACUGCGAAAGCAUUUGCCAGGGAUGUUUUCAUUAAUCAAGAACGAAAGUUAGGGGAUCGAAGACGAUCAGAUACCGUCGUAGUCUUAACCAUAAACUAUGCCGACUAGGAAUCAGACGAUGUUAAUUUUUUAAUGACUCGUUUGGCACCUUACGGGAAACCAAAGUGU